rnacentral:lncRNA from 1 species
UCAGCAAUUAAUAUCAUCCCCAACAAGUUUUGAUAGCAUAAUGGAACACAAAGCUGGGAAAGGAGAAAGAGGAAACCAUCCACAACAAGAGUGGCAUGACCGCUUACCAUGUUUUUAAACUAACAAAAUUUUCUUUGAUUUAGAAACAGGGAAAAUGAACGUUAUUGAUGGCGGAAAGACAUGCCAUAAAGAAAAUCAUCAAACCGGGGCAGAAAAUUUUCUCAUUGUGAAAAUUUUCUUGAAGGCAGGUGCCCAUUUAGGGGAGAAGAAAGAUAAAACCAGUCUCAAGGGAGCUGAUCUUUGAACCAGUGUUAUCCCCAAGUUUAAUAAAGGAAGCUGAAUCCUCAGCAGACCGAACAAAAAGAUUGGAACUUGUGUUUGGAAAGGCAAAGGGCCAGUGUCGCUCCCAACAAGUUUUAGAAGAGGGGAUCACCAAUUUUGAAGGAAUGCAAAUCCCCCAGCAGUGUUAUCCUCAACAGCGUUAUCCCCAGCUCAUAACACUUAUCCCCCAGCAUGUAAGUAAAUAAUCCCCAGCAAGUAUUGAGGUAAGACAUUUUCAAGUUUUAAGGAUAUGUCGGGUUCAUCCGCCCUCGAACAGGAUAUGUCGGGUUCAUCCGCCCUCGAACAGGAUAUGUCGGGUUCAUCCGUCCUCAAAUAGGAUAUGUCGGGUUCAUCCGCCCUCAAAUAGGAUAUGUCGGGUUCAUCCGCCCUCAAGUAUGAUAGUUUGGGUUCAUCCGCCCUCAAAUAGGAUGUUAUUUUCAAAGUUAUUGAUGAAGACAGGCGCCCACCUGAAUAACGAGAGGAAUACCUUUCUGUCUUUUCAUUUCUGUUCUAGGUCACCCACCAGUAUAAUGCGGGCAUAUCAUUUUUCAUGUCUUUAUUAUUAGGCG